GGCAACAAAAUGAAAUAAAUAAAAUAUAAAAAACAAAACCAAAACUUGGGCUGGUUUUUCCUUGUUUUUUUCUCGCCUUUUUCUUUCCAACUCCCUCCUCUUCCGACAGCCGCGGGGGAGCUCCCCCAGCGCCCUGCCACUGCCACCCCCGCGCCCUCCUCCUUCUCCUUCUAUUUCCCCCACCGGCUUGGCGCCUCCCGGAGCGGAGCAGUCCUGCCCUGCCCUGCCCUGCCCUGCCCUCCUCCCUGUGCCGCGCUCCCCUCUGGCUGUGCUCACGCCGGGGAGGGGGCUCGGGGGGGCCCGGUGCCAGCAGAUAACAUCACGGGCUCGGCGGCGAGACGGAGAUUUAUAAGGGCUCCCUCCCCGCCCCACGUGCUCGCCUCCCGGCUCCGUGACGUGGAAGGAGCUCAAUUUCUGAACAAAGAUGGCACCUAAUAAAGGCAAGGUAAAGAAAUGAUGACAAGGUACCCAAUGACAAGUGGAAGGGAAGAGUAUGGAGGAGAUUUCAUACUGCAGCUUAUAAAAAAAGAUGUAUAACUUCUACAGGUGACCACUUAUGAGGAGCACCUCUACCUAAAAGGCAUCAGAACCAAGUAAAAUAAAAUGCCCCCAGGUGAUUCUUGCUUCUGCAAGAUCCCUCUUCAACCUACCAAAUCAGGUCAUAGCUUAAGGACAGAAUUUUAUUUUUUUUUUAAAAGCAAUACAAUUGCUAAC